GUUUAUACUCCUAUUUACAUAUGUGGUAUUAUAUCUUAUUUAAUAUUGAAAAUAUUAAAUAAAAUCAGUAAAAAGUAGACUUAUUCAAGUGAUAAGUGUAUAAUUUCAUAAUAGAAAGAAGGAGAUAGAAACCAGAAUUGUUCAUUUUCCCAUCUUGGAUCAUCGAUCUGGCUACCAAUCUGACCAGCUGCCGAUUCUCUACCUCUUCGUCUUAUAAUCGGACAGUUUAAAAAUGGCAUUAAAACCCUCUCCGAUCAACACACUCCAGCUGUUCCUCUCAAAUAGACGAGUAGAAUGCAAUUAGACUUACAUUUAGUCAAUGGAAAGUUAUAGUUUGUGGACAAAAUAGAAAAUUUAUGUUGAAAACAACCAAGAAAUUCACGACAAGUGGAAAUUAAAAUCUCUCUCGACGGUCGAUUUCCGGAAGAACAGUCUCGAGUGAUCUACAAAUACAAUAUCCUCUUUCGGUUCUACAGCAAUAAAAUUUUAGAAGAAACGAAAUUUUUAUUGUUAGUACGAACUCUUCGGUUCUCCAGACGAACAAAUCGAUGGAAUGGGUAAUGGAAUGGUCAGAGCACCAUCAGAAACAUCGAUAUUCUUGUAUUCUGUAUACAUUGAUGCGUAUCCCUAUUAUUCUAUAGUAGAAAAGAACAGGGAAUUCGAACUUCUGUACUCGUUUCAAUCAUCUAAGACGUUCUCAAAGUUCUCUUUACAGUGCGAGCUCUUCCAGUACAUCAAGUACUAAGUGAAAACACUGGUUAUUACAUAUGUUGCUAUGGAGUUAAAUAAUAAAAAAAUCACUUAAA